AAGGGAUUUUCUAAAUUUGUGAAACGCUUUUCAGUUUCAACAAAAUAUAGACGGUUCCCUUUCAACUUACCUUCUUCCUUUUCUCCUUCUCUCAGCCGUUUCACGAACUUGAAAAGGCAGACACAUGGUCUCAAGUUCGUUUAAAACCUAACACCUUCAUCAUCGGCUUCAUCUGCGACCAGAAGCCCCUCGACGCCCUCCUCCUCUACGCCCACGUCUCUUUCGGGUUUUCAGGAUCUCAGGGAGGAUAUUUGUUUUGCCAUGGUAACCCCUGUCGCAGGUACCUUGGCCACUGGGAUUGGGGCUUUGACGGGUGGUCAAGGAACUGGCUAGAUGGCGGUUAUGCAAAUGCAGGGGAGACAAAGGAUUUUUGGAGGGUUCGAAUCAAAGUAGGGAAGGCGGUCUGCUCCGUUUAGAUUUGGUGAGCCUUUGUUGGGAAUAUGGGGUUCCAGUUUCUGCAUUGGUGUCGUUCUUCUACGUUGUUCUUGAUUGUGGUAUUGAAUUUCCUUUCCCUCUCUCUCUGUUGUUCCUGAAAGGCCCAAUUUUUUUUUGUCUCUGAUGAUUGAUUCCCAAUUUUUCCAUCCUUAGAAUGGGGCAGCUCUGUUGUUAGGUCGCAAUAACCUUCAUUCUAUAAAUUAGUUUACUUUAAAUGUAUUAUAUUGAAGUUUGAAAGAUGGCUAAAAUUGAGUUGAUGCAUCUGUGUUGAUGGUGAAGGAACAAUUCAGUAGAAUCAGCCAAGGCUGAUGGGCUCAAUGCAGUGGCUAGGGUUGGAAUCCUUUGUGAUCUUCAUUGGAGCUUUUUGGUUUUCAGUGAGAACAAAGAUUUAAACUUGAUAAUUUUAAUUUUUUAUAAUUUCCUGUACAUAUUGAUAAUUAUACUGUUGAUCUUUUCCUUUCUAGAGCUUGCCAUAAUUAAAGGAGGCAAUUGAUUCAUCUUUUUGUUAUUUUGAUUUCCAUUGUUUUGAUGCUAAUUCUUUGUUUUGGUUAGCAUCCAAAAAGAAGAAGCCUCAAACACAGUGAAUGUAUGUAUUUUAAUAUGAGAUUUACCAUGCUUUGAGAUUAUACUUAAAACAGGGCUAAGAGUUUGAGGUUCAUUAGAAAGCGUUUUGAGUUUCUGGAUGUGAAGUUCAUCACAACUUUGAUGCAGAGAACUUCUUUUAGCUAGCAUUUACUAUCUUUUUGCUAUAUCAAAAGAGGAGGUUUCUGUUUUUGUAGGUGAAGUUUUCUCUCUGCUGCAUCAUCAGUUCCAUGCUCUUUACCCUCACCAAUUGCUCAAUGCAGACAAAGGUAAGCUUUCUCCUUUUCCCCUUUGAUUCUGUCAACUCAACUCUUAUUCAAAUCGACAAUGCUUUGCUCUUAUUCCUUUCUCUCUCUACUUUUUUGUUUUGUUUCAACAAGUUGUCACCAAACCAGAGCCAUUCACAUCGACCUUGAGUACUAAAUUGAGUGGAACAGGGAUGAUGAUAAGGUAUAGCUGUGAUGAAAUUUCGUAGGCUCCUCUCAGUUUCUCUAAAAGGUAACAUUUGUGUUUGUGCAUGUCUGUAAUUUUGUUCGGUUUGGAUUGUUCCCACUGUUUGAAUAAUUCAUAAUUGAUCAUGAACUGUGUGUGUUGCUUCAGUGCCUCUAAAAAAACAUUUUUCCUUCAUCUUCUAAAUUAACCCCAAAAUAUAAGUAUACUUUCCAUUCAAUAUUUCCCACACUGAAUCUUUUAUCUCUUGGCAUUGACUUAGUAUCUCAAAUAGAGGGAGCCAAAAUAGUUGUCUUUUUCGUCUUUUGUUUCACCUGUAGGAUGGAGCUAUGGAUUUGUCACAAAAGAUAUUGUUACUGGAUUUAAGUUGCAUACCCUUGGUCGGAGAUCUAUGUACUGCAUGCCCAAGCUCCCAGCGUUCAUAGGUUUUUCUCCUAUUAAUCAUUCAUAUUGUUUGAACCAGGUUUUUCGAUGGGCUUUAUAUCCUGCACAAGUGUGUCAUGAUGAUACUUAUAGCCAACUUAAUAAGCUUUCACAUCCAAGUCACGAAAGAUCCCUUAUGUUUUGUAUGUGAUUUUUUUUAAUGAAUCAAUCAAUUAAGGUUGUGGAAGAAAAAAAGACUGGAAUCAAUCACAAACUUAAAUAAGGUAUAUGAUUUUUGUUCUGGGUACAAUAACUACCACAUGACUACUGCCACCUUUCAUGUUGAAGAGAGGGAGAGGUCAUUUUGUGGUGGUAUGCGGGAAUUGUUUGGUCAUAUCUUAUUUUGGUUUGGUCAUGGAAUCUGCAUAGAAAUAGUAUAUUAAGAGGCCUUAAAUGAUUGAGACAUUGCAUUUCUGUUCACUUUUCAUCGCUUCUGACAGGAAACUGAAACUCUCAAGUCUCAAGAGGUUGAGCUUUGCGUCCUAUAGAGAAAGAACAUGAUGAGUUUGAGGUGGUAUAUUUCAUUUGUUGUAAAAUCAGAUAGGAUUGGAUAGGUCGGACCUGUAAAAUUUAAAACCGUUCAAGUGACUGAUUCAAUUGAAGGAAAAAGACGAAGGAACUAAGAACUGGAGAAGAAAAAGGGGAAAGAAACAAAGGAAGGUAGAAAACACAAGGAAGGAGGGAGGACGAAGAAAAGAGAAGCGCAGGGGUUCCACCGGCAAAGAGCGGCGCGACGGCCACCCAAGGCUAGGACGUUGAGAGUGGUAGAGGAGAGAAGUGGAAUUCUGAGACUUAAAAGAUACCCGCACAAGCUUUUUCCUAUGGCUUCAGAAUAGGGGGUUUCCAAGAACAUCGUUUAUAUGUGUUAUGUGUAUGUUAUAUUUUGAUAACUUCUGUACUUAUCAUGUGACAUGGAGAUAUAAAAUUUUGAUUAGUUUUUUUACUUAGCACAUGUAACACAUGAUUGUAACAUUUUGAUGAAAAUUUUACCUAUUCUAUGUGACACAGGGAUGUCACCUUUUUAA